AGCAGCCGCGGUAAUUCCAGCUCCAAUAGCGUAUAUUAAAGUUGUUGCAGUUAAAAAGCUCGUAGUUGAAUUUCGGAAUAAGCAGGUCGGUCGUGCUAUUGUGCGUACUGGUAUAAUCGGUUUCUCCUUUCUGACGAACUAUAAUGCCAUUAAUUUGGUGUUAUAGGGAAUCAGGACUGUUACUUUGAAAAAAU
rnacentral:rRNA from 1 species